rnacentral:lncRNA from 1 species
GUCACUUUUAUGGAACAGUUUUUCUGUCAUUGAAACUCAUAAGACAUGGACUCAGUAUUUCAAGGUUCAAUCUCACAUAAUAUUCAAAACUUCAAUUUUACUUUAAUGUUAAAGUUCUCUUUUUUUCUCUUCUUCUCUAUCUCAAUGGCUGGUUUCUACUUCUCAGAGAUCAGAAUGGGGGAGAAAGAAGAGGAAGGGGCAGGAAAGUUCCAUCUGGUAUGGCUGUGGUCUAGCUCCAGUGUUUUCUAGGCUUGCAGGUGGUGAGAGCUCGCUUUUUCUCUUGUGGGAGGCUUUCACAUGGGUUCUUCAGAGACUCUCAUCACUGGAGAUCUUUCAGUUGAAGCUCUCUGGAAAUGACAAAUGCAUCCCUAUUUCUCUUGGUUGCUUGAUUCUUAACCCCAUUUCAUUAAACAAUACCCAAUUCAUUCUCUUUUUUCUCUUCUGCAGGAUGUACUUACAUCCCAACAAACUGAAAAUGCUGACCAACUGCAGCACAGCCAACUCGAAUUUGCUCUUUCGUCAAAGUGACCAGCACCUCAUUUCUUCGUCUUUAGAAUUUGUAGAACUUGUAUUCUUAGUCCAGCUGUUUAAUAAAUUGCAAUCACCUAAACACAUGCUCCUAAAUCAAAUCUCGGAUGUCAGAAAGAGCACUGAACCAUCACCGGUUUCUGUUUUUUGGAGAUGCCAAGUCAUAAUAUGCUUUUAAAGGAUGCUUCUACAAGAGCAUCACUUUUCUUUCUUGUGGAUCCACUGAAAACUGCUUUUGCUGCUGUAGAUGUGGUGGAAAUGAGGAAGCAGAAGAAGGUAAGGAAUUUUUUAAAAAAGUACUGGAUUUGUUUUAUAUUGGUGCUAUGACAAAUUAUCAUAAAUUUAGCAGCUUACAGCCAAUCAGAUCUAUUACUUCACACUUCUGUAGGUCAGGAACUGGUGGCUAGUUCUGCUCUAGCUUCCCCAAGGUCAAAAUCAAGGUUCUGGCCAGCCUGGGAUUUUGCCAGAAGGCUUUGGGAGACAAUCUGUUUCCAGAAUGAUUUACGCUGUUGGCAGAAUUUGCUACUAUGUGGUUAUAGGACUUAAAUCCCAGUUAUCUUGCUGGCAGUUGGCUGGGGGUCAUUCUUAGUUUUUAGAGGCCGACUGCAUUUCCCUUUGGUCUCUUUAACUCAUUUUCUUUUCUGCCACAUCUCUUCUCUGACCCCAGUUGGAGAAAGUUCUCUGCUUUAAACGAAUCAAGUGAUUAGACUGGGCUCACCUGGAUAAUACAGGAUGCUAUCCCUCUUUUAUGAUCAAUAACCUCAAUUACAUCUGCAAAAUCUUGAACAGUAUCUUAAGCGUUUGAUUGAAUAAGCAGAAGACAGGUUAUUUGGGCAACAUCUUCGGAAUUCUGCCACCACUAGCUUUUUUCUUUCUUUUACUCAAAACUUGAGGAUAGAAACAUUCACACUCUUUUCAAA